rnacentral:rRNA from 1 species
UGGGGAAUAUUGGACAAUGGGCGCAAGCCUGAUCCAGCAAUGCCGCGUGUGUGAAGAAGGCCUUCGGGUUGUAAAGCACUUUUAUCAGGAGCGAAACGCUGUCGGCUAAUACCCGGCGGAACUGACGGUACCUGAGGAAUAAGCACCGGCUAACUUCGUGCCAGCAGCCGCGGUAAUACGAAGGGUGCAAGCGUUAAUCGGAAUUACUGGGCGUAAAGCGUGCGUAGGCGGUUUCUUAAGUCUGCUGUGAAAUCCCCGGGCUCAACCUGGGAAUGGCAGUGGAUACUGGGAGGCUAGAGUGUGUCAGAGGGUGGUGGAAUUCCCGGUGUAGCGGUGAAAUGCGUAGAGAUCGGGAGGAACAUCAGUGGCGAAGGCGGCCACCUGGGACAACACUGACGCUGAGGCACGAAAGCGUGGGGAGCAAACAGGAUUAGAUACCCUGGUAGUCCACGCCCUAAACGAUGCGAACUGGAUGUUGGUCUCAACUCGGAGAUCAGUGUCGAAGCUAACGCGUUAAGUUCGCCGCCUGGGGGAGUACGGUCGCAAGACUGAAACUCAAAUGAA